rnacentral:rRNA from 1 species
UACGGGGGGGGCAAGCGUUGUUCGGAAUUACUGGGCGUAAAGGGCUCGUAGGCGGCCAACUAAGUCGGACGUGAAAUCCCUCGGCUUAACCGGGGAACUGCGUCCGAUACUGGAUGGCUUGAGGUUGGGAGAGGGAUGCGGAAUUCCAGGUGUAGCGGUGAAAUGCGUAGAUAUCUGGAGGAACACCGGUGGCGAAGGCGGCUCACUGGCCCGGUACUGACGCUGAGGUGCGGAAGCGUGGGAGCAACAGG